CUUGUUUCUUCUUUUUGGAUUACAACGGGAAAGGUCCAAAUUCUGAGGAACAGCUGGUGGACAGGCAUCAUUUUGGGAAAGCACACUUUUAUCUUCUGAAAUACUUACAGUGCCAGUCACUGCAGGAGAACCAUCAGAUGAUUUUCUACACUACAGAAUGGUGACCAUGAAAGAGGAUAAAAGCAUCUUGGAUCUAUGUUCUUGAAACAUUACUUUGGCCACUGAUCUCAAGGAGCGGACACUGAUGAUGUAUAAAGUGAAUUUUCUGGAAGGAGAAAAAUGGUACCCAAAGAAAGACAGCAACACAGUAUCACUGGUAGGAGUCUGACUUACAUACAUAAAUGUGGAUUAUGCCCAAAUCCAGAUUCCCAAGUAAGAAUCGAAAGGCUGAAAUUAAUGCAUGGCAUUCCCACUAAUCUACCCGCCAUUGAUUUAACUUUUGUAUUUGUUUCUUAAGAUCUUUGUUAAUGUUUUUUGAACUGCUGCUCUUUUAUCUUAGAUAACUAAACUUAAAAUCAUUAUGUUGGGGAAAUAUUAUUUUAAGAUGUGUUGCUUUUUUAUGCUACAUGUCUUUAACAACAUGAAGCUGUGAUCACCUGAUGGUACUAAUAAAGAGCUGAAUGGCCAAUAGUGAGGCAGGAGCAUGAAUAGGUGGGGCUGGCAGGCAAGGAGUAUAAAUAGAAGGAGAACAAGGAAGAGGGGAGCAACAAGAGAACAAAGGGUGGAGGAUGUCAGGGACCAGUCACCAAGCCACCCAGCCAGUCACGAAGUAAACAGGAUAUAAGAUACAUAGAAGUAAGAAAAGGAAAAAAAUCAAGAGGCAAAAGGUAGUCAUGAUAAUUUAAGUUAAUAAAAGCUGGCAAGAAACAAGCCAAGCUAAGGUUGGGCACUUAUAAUUAAGAAUAAGCCUCUGUGUGUGGUUUACUUGGAAGCUGGGUGGUGCCCCCUCCCCAAAGAAUAAAAAGAUCAAAAACAACCAACAACAUUUUGGUGCCCAAUGUGGGGCUGUAUCUCCAUGUAGGGUCUAAGAAAACCAAAAAAAAUUAAAAAAAAUUAUACAGCUCAUUUAAGAGCUUGUGUCUGCUGGACAGCCCUUGUCCAGCCAGUACAUUAAGUAGGAACAACAACAACAACAACAACAAAAGAAGUAAAAAUGCCUGUGGCAUCGGAAGCAUCAGCAUUCUAGAGCUCUAGGAAGGUUGAAUGCAGUUCCUCGUCUUGUAACUCCAACUUGGCACAAGCUUUAGGCUUGCCUUUCAUGACCUGAUCCAAGAGUGGCAGAGCCAGCUGCUAUGGCAAGAGGAGGCUCAGGUGUUUCUUAACAGUCUAAUGUUUGCUCAUGCAGUCAAAAAAGACUAAGAGAUACUCACCAAAAAGAUCCAGAUGGAAAAACCUUUACUCAGUGUGUUUUACAAUGUAUGUAGACUUAAGAAAGAAAGACAAAGGGUAUGGACAGUUAUAGAAAGAAAUAAGUUUAAAAAUAAAAAAUUAAAGUCUUGAAAGAGAGAGUAAAAGUAAUAAAAACAAUAAGCCACUCAGAUGGGAAAUACACAGAGAGUCUGGAUCUUGUAGGCUAUUGUGCUGAUUUUGAAUCUUUUGAAUGCUGAUAAGCAAAAAACAGCUGCUAAGAGACAUGGGAUUGAAAGGAAUUGUAGAAGUAAACCAAUCUAUAUACUUUAGGAAUGUCUUAACUUAGAAAUAGAAGUAAAAAAAUGUAUUUGUAAAAUGGAACUUAAAGGAUGCUUUACUUUGGAGAAGCAUUUUUGGUUUUUUGGGGUUUUUUUUUUGUUGUUGUUUUGUUUUGUUUUCACAGGAAACAGGAGGCUGUGAAUUUGUUCCAGAUUGAUAUGUAUCAGGGGAGACUUGACAGGUUAUAUCUAUCAACAAAGGUUACUGCUGGUCUUCCUAGGACUUGGUCAUUAGCUCAAAUUUUCUCAGGGACCCUCAAAAAGUCGUCACCCACAGUCAGCAGAGCAGUAUGGAGAAGUCUGUACCCACAUUUCCAAGAGAAAAGAGAAUGUGGAAGGUCUUUUGUUAUUUUGUGGGUCCUAUAUGUUUGCUAUCAUUUAGGGGAAUGUAGGAAUAUAGGAUAAAAAUAUCACUAUUAAUCUCAGAUAUUUUGUCUUGGCAUGGAUUUUGGUAUAUGAAUACAAAUUCAAAGUCAAUUUUGUUACACUGUAUAUAUGUUUUUACUCUUGUUUAAAGGACUUUUGUAUAAUGAUACAAAUUUAAAGUAAUUUUUAUUACAACACACUGUAUAUGUUUCUAUUCUUUAAACAAGGUUUCUAUUUUUUAAACAAGGAUUUUUGUGUAUUGAUACCAAUUUAAGUUUAUUAUGUUACAACAUAUUCUAUAUAUGUUUCUACUUUUGUUUAAGGUAUUGUACUUAGGCAAUUCAUUUAAAAAUGUAAGGUAAAAUUCUUGUUUUUGAUAGCUACAAUUAUGAACUACUUAGGACAAUCAAGAAACACAGGCCAGUAGUUAGUCCUCUAUAAUAAUCAAAAUUGUAGAUAUGCUAAGUAUGUUUUCCAUAUCAUAUAGAGAUAUAUUUUAGGUAGAUAGAUGGUCUUCAAACCUUUCAAAUACCUACAGAAUAUGGCAGUUAAAAUGUUUCAUUAAUUUAGGGGUUUUUAUGAUAAUGAGACAUAUCUGCUCCUGGAAGCACCAGUUUACUUCAGAAAAUUACUUCAGGCAUCAAAGAAGCACCUUAUGUAGUUUUCUUUCAAUGUGGCUAGCCAUUCGGGCAAGAAGCUGCUCUUGCCUGAACUGCUUGAUAAUAUGCUGUAUAAACGAGGCAUGCAGAACUCACAGGAAAGUGACUGCUAAACUUUGCCAAAACAAGGCAGGAUGGUCCUUCAGGGCUACUACUUCACAGAAGAAACUGUCAGACAUUCUGCAGGACACAGAGGAAAGUGACUGACAAACUGCCAAUAUAGGUGGGAUAGUCUGUCAAAUUUUCUGCUUCACUGAAAGGUCUCUCGGAUACUUUGGGCCUGUAGGCUGAAGAUGGAUGCCCCAACAUUGCAAAGAAAUUUGGGAUGACUGUCGCGGCAGACAGAUAUUUAUGUCAUCUCUAGAGUUUGUGGAGUUAUUUGUAAUGCACUUUUUUUUCUUACUUAAAUAAUAUUUCCUCCUGGUGCCUUUGAUGGAAUUGGAGAUUAGACAGCUAUAGAUAUAGUUUUUCUUAAAUAUGAUAAAAAGUAAGUUAAGUAUAAAAUUUUGGAUUUACCAAGAUAGGAUAGAUGAUGGAUUAUUUUCUUAAAAUUUACCAGACACAAAUAAUUUGCAAUUCAGUACUCUGUGAAUGUAAUCUUUAUUUGGUAAUUGUCUUAUUUUAUACAAUCUUACUAUGUUAAAGUUAAAACUUUUCAUUUUUGUUUAGAAAGACAAAAUGGGGAAAUUAUUUUAAGAUAUGUUGCUUUUUUAUGCUGCAUUUGAUUAACUUUGUGAAGUUGUGAUUCUUUGCCUGUCUAAAACACCUGAUGGUCUAAUAAAGAGCUGAAUGGCCAAUAGUGAGGCAGGAGCAUGAAUAGGUGGGGCUGGCAGGCAGGGAGUAUAAAUAGAAGGAGAAACAAGGAAGAGGGGAGCAACAAGAGAACAAAGGGAGGAGGAUGGUAGAGGCCAGUCACCAAGCUACCCAGCCAGCCAUGCAGUUAAGAAGAAAUGUAAAAUAUAUACAAGUAAGAAAAGAAAAAGGGGGUUCUAGGCCAGCCUGGUCUACAAGAGCUAGUUCUGGGAUGGGCACCAAAGCUACAGAGAAACCCUGUCUCGAAAACAAAAAAAAAAAAAAAAAAAAAAAAAAAAAAAAAAAAAAAAAAAGAAAAAAGAAAAAAAAAAGGCCUGGUCAAAAGGAAGCUGGGAUAAUUUAAAUGAAGAAAAGUUGGUUUGGAACAAGCCAAGCUAAAGCUGGGCACUCUUAAUUAAGAAUAAGUCUGCCAGGCAGUGUUGGCACAUGCUUUUAAUCUCAGCACUUGGGAGGCAGAGGCAGGCAGAUCUCAGUGAGUUUGAGGCCACAGCCUGGUCUACAGACUGAGUUCUAGGACAGCUAGGACUGUUUCACAGAGAAACUCUGUCUUGAAAAACAAACAAACAAAAAAGCAAAACCAAAGCCAAACAAAACACCAAAAAAAAAAAAAAAAAAAAAAGAAAAAGAAAA